rnacentral:lncRNA from 1 species
CCCAGACAACGCGAGGACGCCCGUGCGCCUACGUACAUGUGCUCCAGGCCAACUGGUUGUGCACAUAGACACAUGACCCAUCAAGUGGGCGCCCGUGGCGCGCCUUGUCUGCACACGAACCACGCAGGGACACCCACGCAUCGUACGCUUGCUCGCACACACACUAGGCCAACUGGGCGUGCACACAGGCACACGACCCAUCAGCCGAGCGUGUGCACUGGUGCACAACCCAUCAGCCGAGCAUCUACGCUCCACCCUGUCUGCUAGUGAAUCCCUGGUGCAGAUGCAUGCUCUGGGCGUGUGGCUCCGCGCGCGUAGCCCUAGUUUGUCGUGCGGGUAAGUGAUCCUUCUAAGUAUGCAGAUAAGCUG